CCGGGUGAAACCACUCCCCUCUGCAUGCAGGGGCCAUGGCCCUGCCGUUGCUUUUGGAUCUGCUUUUGGUGGAUCUGGGCCGCAGGCCUGGCCAAUCAGAGUACUGCAUCCUGCUCGCAGGGAUGGGCUCAGGGAAGGUCACAUGACCCAGCCAGGGCCAAUGAGUUGCAAUCUUGGGACAUUUGCGUGAGAAGCCCUUUCCUCCCACUGAACUCAGGGCCGAGAGGAGGAUGCAGUCAUGGAUGAUGUCAUAUUGUUGAUGUGAUAUUGACCAUGAGGUAAUAUUAGCGGUGGGACAUGGGAGCUGCCUGCAGCCAUUUUGCCACUGGACAGAGAGACCCCACCUGAGAACGGUACCAAUGCAAGCAGAAUGGGACCAAGAGAGGCAGAGAGAACAUCCCUUCCUUUAUUCCUUCUGCAUCUAUUGGUUAAGCCCUACUCUGUGCAGUGCCUGUUCCUGGCCUGGGGAACAGCAGUGACCAAGAUGAAGUCCCCGUCCUCAGGAGUCAUCGACAUUCUAGCAUAAAUGUAAACAGGAGCCAGCAGUCACCCCCUAGACCAAAUCUGAGCUGGACUCUCUGCCACUGGCUCCUCCAGGCCCGAGGCAAUCUAUGUUGUUGGGUGAGCAAAUAGGAGAGUCUCCCAUUGUGCGGACAGGCCACAGCUCCUCGAGCCGGCCCCCUCGUGGGGAACACUUGAGUUGCUCCCCAUCUUUUGCUGUUGUAGUCGGUCAAUACCUCAUCCACGUGCCGGCUCAUAUGCACAAAGUGGAGCAUCCGUGCACUACAUCAAGGGAGAAAUCAAGAUACAGAACCGUCUAUAGGCAUAUGUUAUGUUUUGCACAAGAAGGAGGGAAAAUCAGAAUAUGUCUUCAUCCUUGGUAUACUUCCAUAAAGAUACUCUGGAAGGACAGACAAAAACCUAACAACCUUACCAGCCUCUUGUGGUUGGUGGGGGCUGGGGACCUGGAUGACAGUGCAGAGUGGGAGAGAGACCUCCUCUUUCACCUUCUAGCCUUGUUUUGCUUUUAGAACCACGUGAUUGUAUUACUCGGUUUAAAACAACGACAGCAGAAAGCGUAAACAAGUGCAGCCAUGGUACGUAGAUGUGACCUAAAUCCUGAAGGUGGCAGUUGGUGGCUGAAUUUGGAACUGCUCCCUCCUGUGGUCUUGGGGUGUCUCUUAGGCCCAGAUUCCUCCUUCACCACAGGAGCCAACAGGGCGCUGGGGAGAGAAUGGAGGUGACACUUGCGAAUUCGGACGCCCGCCCCGCGGUGUGCAUGAGAGAAGAGUCCAGAGGGGCCUGCCCGAGCUCUGGAACAGUCAAGGGACAGGCCACAUUGGCCCCGUGACAUCUUAUAGAUGUCACCUGUUCCUGCCAGUGCAGCCACGAUCAGCCCCACACACGGGAAGGCAGCAGAGCAGCCCGAGCCUGUGUUCCCGGCACUCUGUGGAGGCUGAGCUGGGCACACAUCUUCAGGUCACCCCUCUGCAGCCCGACUGGGGGAGAGCGAGGAGCCGGUGGCUGGGGGAGGGCCGCGCGCCUGUUCUGUCUCCAACUGCCUUUGUUCGAGAAUAAACACGCUGGGGCUGUCUCCCUACCUGAAAGCCACAUCUGCUGGAGAGAGAAAUCGUUGACAAUCUCUGCUUUAGAUGUACAGAAAGUCUGAAAUUGCUUGGCGACCAGGCAGGAGGGAGCCUGGGCGAGGCCGGGGGAUCCAGGCAGCAGCUGUAAAACCUUUUUCCUAAAACUGCCCUCAAGCAUGAUGAACAGGAGACAUUCGGAGCUGGUUCGCAACCCAGCAGUUCUGGGACCCUAAAUGGCAGAGCACAUGGAUGUUGGAAUCGACGGGCCCGAGUUUGAAUCCCAGCUGGGCGAUUCACGAGCUGAGCGAUCCGAGGUCUCCUGUCCCACCCUCAGCAUCCUCGUCUGUGAAGUGGGGCUCACGGGCCUGACCUGAAGGGUGGUUAUGAAGAGAAAAUGAAAUGGAGAGUAAUCUUCCCAGCUCAGUGCCUAGCGUGUGGGAGGCAAUAAACAGCGACGGCCACAUCUAGCUGGAUAUAAAUACAGGGCUUAACAGGCAGUACGUUAACACCCUCCAGUUAAUUCAUAGCUCUUGAAAGUUCUCACAUACAUUGCCCUGAAGGCCCUUCCUGGUUUAACGCUGUGUGUGGUCGCGACGGCUCUGGCAGCACGGUCAUCCAGGCACGGGGAGUGCACCCAGGCUCUCGGUCCCGCUGGUGGCACCUGAUGUUCGUAAGAACUUUUCGAGAGCUGGCUCACCUUACAAAGAGGGAAGAUCGAGGCUCAGGCCCUGGUGCAGCAGAGCUGGGGUUUGAACCGCCGUCCCUCCACCAUCCUGAGCUCCUGGUGCAGGGAGAGCUGGGUGUGCUUCCGACCUUCUGGGGUGGCCCUGGAGUGAACUUGGUGGCCAUGCCAGCGCCACCCCUGGUGAGCCUCUGCAGCCCGUCCCUGGAUCCUACUGAGAAACUGCCCUGGCAGGUGGGAGGAGUGGAGCCUGGGGGAUCUUGGGGUCUUGGCGUCCACGCAUGGAUGGGAAAAGAUAGUGCCAGCUCCGGCCUCUCCGGGGAAGGGAAGGGAAAAAUGCAACACCAACUAUGUUUGCAGAGAAAUAAAAAAUG
rnacentral:lncRNA from 1 species